CUUCCGAGCAUGCUCAGUACGGCGAGUGAGCGGCAAAAGCUCAAAUUUUAAAGCUGACAUCUUCGGUGUCCGCGUUGUAAUUUUGUGAGGCAUCUCCGGGUAGGGCGCCGGCCUAAGUUCCUUGGAACAGGACGUCACAGAGGGUGAGAAUCCCGUGCUUGGCUGGCUGUCCCCGUCCAUGUGAGGUGUCUUCGACGAGUCGAGUUGUUUGGGAAUGCAGCUCAAAAUGGGUGGUAAAUUUCAUCUAAAGCUAAAUAUUGGUGGGAGACCGAUAGCGCACAAGUAGAGUGAUCGAAAGAUGAAAAGCACUUUGAAAAUAGAGUUAAAAAGUACGUGAAAUUGUUGAAAGGGAAGCGCUUGAGAUCAGACUUCGGUAAGGGGUGAUCAGCCGUCCUUCUGGGCGGUGCACUUGCCCCCCUCCGGGCCAGCAUCGGUUGAGGCGGCGGGAUAAAGGUCCCGGGAAUGUGGCUCCUUCACGGGAGUGUUAUAGCCCGGGUGAAUGCCGCCAGCUUCGACCGAGGACCGCACCCGCAAGGGUUAGGAUGCUUGGCAUAAUGGUCUUCAGCGACCCGUCUUGAACCACGGACCA
rnacentral:rRNA from 1 species